UUGAACGCUGGCGGCAUGCCUAACACAUGCAAGUCGAACGGCAGCACGGUGAGUAGAAAUACUUAUGGGUGGCGAGUGGCGGACGGGUGAGUAACGCGUAGGGAUCUGCCUUGUGGAGUGGGACAACUUGGGGAAACUCGAGCUAAUACCACGUAAGCUCUAAGGAGGAAAGCAUGGGACUAGAGAUAGCCAUGUGCCAUAAGAUGAACCUAUGUCGGAUAGCUAGUUGGUGGGGUAAAGGCCUACCAAGGCUAUGAUCUGUAGCUGGUCUGAGAGGAUGAUCAGCCACACUGGGACUGAGACACGGCCCAGACUCCUACGGGAGGCAGCAGUGGGGAAUAUUGGACAAUGGGGGCAACCCUGAUCCAGCGAUGCCGCGUGUGCGAAGAAGGCCUGCGGGUUGUAAAGCACUUUGAGUGGGGAAGAAAUGCGUGCGUUUAAGAGAUGAACGAGUUGACGUUACCCACAGAACAAGCACCGGCUAACUCUGUGCCAGCAGCCGCGGUAAUACAGAGGGUGCAAGCGUUAAUCGGAAUUACUGGGCGUAAAGGGCGCGUAGGCGGAUAAUUAAGUUAGAUGUGAAAUCCCCGGGCUUAACCUGGGAACUGCAUAUAAUACUGGUUAACUAGAGUAGAGUAGAGGGAAGUGGAAUUUCCGGUGUAGCGGUGAAAUGCGUAGAUAUCGGAAAGAACAUCAGUGGCGAAGGCGGCUUUCUGGACUCAUACUGACGCUGAGGCGCGAAAGCGUGGGGAGCAAACAGGAUUAGAUACCCUGGUAGUCCACGCUGUAAACGAUGAAAACUAGAUGUUGGUAGGUUAAACCUGUCAGUAUCGAAGCAAACGCGAUAAGUUUUCCGCCUGGGGAGUACGGCCGCAAGGUUAAAACUCAAAGGAAUUGACGGGGGCCCGCACAAGCGGUGGAGCAUGUGGUUUAAUUCGAUGCAACGCGAAGAACCUUACCUACCCUUGACAUCCUGCGAAUCCAGAUGAGAAUUUGGAGUGCCGAAAGGAACGCAGAGACAGGUGCUGCAUGGCUGUCGUCAGCUCGUGUCGUGAGAUGCUGGGUUAAGUCCCGUAACGAGCGCAACCCUUGUCCUUAGUUGCCAACACGUAAAGGUGGGAACUCUAAGGAGACUGCCGGUGAUAAACCGGAGGAAGGUGGGGAUGAGGUCAAGUCAUCAUGGCCUUUAUGGGUAGGGCCACACACGUGCUACAAUGGUCGGUACAAAGGGAGGCCAACCCGCGAGGGGGAGCAAAUCUCAAAAGCCGAUCGUAGUCCGGAUUGGGGUCUGCAACUCGACUCCAUGAAGUUGGAAUCGCUAGUAAUCGCGGAUCAGAACGCCGCGGUGAAUACGUUCCCGGGCCUUGUACACACCGCCCGUCACACCAUGGGAGUGGGUUGUACCAGAAGUAGGUAGUCUAACCGUGAGGGGGACGCUUACCACGGUAUGAUUCAUGACUGGGGUG
rnacentral:rRNA from 1 species